rnacentral:rRNA from 1 species
CCUACGGGAGGCAGCAGUAGGGAAUCUUCCGCAAUGGACGAAAGUCUGACGGAGCAACGCCGCGUGAACGAAGAAGGCCUUCGGGUCGUAAAGUUCUGUUGUUAGGGAAGAACAAGUACCAGAGUAACUGCUGGCACCUUGACGGUACCUAACCAGAAAGCCACGGCUAACUACGUGCCAGCAGCCGCGGUAAUACGUAGGUGGCAAGCGUUGUCCGGAAUUAUUGGGCGUAAAGCGCGCGCAGGUGGUUCCUUAAGUCUGAUGUGAAAGCCCACGGCUCAACCGUGGAGGGUCAUUGGAAACUGGGGAACUUGAGUGCAGAAGAGGAAAGUGGAAUUCCAAGUGUAGCGGUGAAAUGCGUAGAGAUUUGGAGGAACACCAGUGGCGAAGGCGACUUUCUGGUCUGUAACUGACACUGAGGCGCGAAAGCGUGGGGAGCAAACAGGAUUAGAUACCCUGGUAGCCCACGCCGUAAACGAUGAGUGCUAAGUGUUAGAGGGUUUCCGCCCUUUAGUGCUGCAGCUAACGCAUUAAGCACUCCGCCUGGGGAGUACGGCCGCAAGGCUGAAACUCAAAGGAAUUGACGG